rnacentral:lncRNA from 1 species
UCAAUGACAAUACUUUGUCAUCAAUCAACUACACAUUAGUCUCAAUGCAUUAUCGCUGUCCAAACCCACAAUAAUACUUGACUAAGGACUUUUUAAGAAUAAUCAUAUUACUCUCAGGGCUUUAUUAUUAAUCAGUUUAUUUAUACAUAGAAAAAGAAACUAAAAUAACAAUAACAAUGUCUUAUAUUAACAACAAGGUAAAAACGAGUAUGUAAUUACAAUCAUCUCAUGAUUGGUCUUUAGGGAUACUCUAACAGUUGUCUCAUUU